UUGAAGAUUCUAAGGCCAACGGGAGAAGGGUUGUUAAGGAACUCGGCAAGUUGACCCCGUAACUUCGGAAUAAGGGGUGCUCACGAGAGUGAGCCGCAGAGAAUAGGCCCAGGCAACUGUUUACCAAAAACACAGGUUUGUGCUAAAUCGAAAGAUGACGUAUACGAGCUGACGCCUGCCCGGUGCUGGAAGGUUAAAAGGAGAUGUGCAAGCAUUGAAUUGAAGCCCCAGUGAACGGCGGCCGUAACAAUAACGGUCCUAAGGUAGCGAAAUUCCUUGUCAGGUAAGUUCUGACCCGCAUGAAAGGCGUAAUGAUCUGGGCACUGUCUCAACAGCCCGCCCGGCGAAAUUGUAGUACCGGUGAAGAUGCCGGUUACCCGCGACAAGACGGAAAGACCCCAUGGAGCUUUACUGUAGCCUGAUAUUGGGUUUCGGUGUUGCAUGCACAGGAUAGAUGGGACACUGGGAAGGCAGAGCUUUGGCAUUGCUGGAGUGGACGUUGGGAUACCAUCCUUGCGACAUUGGAAUUCUAACCUGCGCCUCUGAAGCGAGGCGGGGGACAUUGUCAGGUGGGCAGUUUGACUGGGGCGGUCGCCUCCUAAAAAGUAGCGGAGGCGUUCAAAGGUUCGUUCGAUCUGGACGGAAACCAGAUGAUUGAGUGCAAACGCAUAAACGAGCCUGACUGCGAGACUGACGGGUCGAGCAGAGACGAAAGUCGGAGUUAGUGAUCCGGUGGUAUGUGAGUGGAAAUGCCAUCGCUCAACGGAUAAAAGUUACCCUGGGAUAACAGGCUGAUCUCCCCCAAGAGUCCACAUCGACGGGGAGGUUUGGCACCUCGAUGUCGGCUCAUCGCAUCCUGGGGCUGAAUUCGGUCCCAAGGGUUUGGCUGUUCGCCAAUUAAAGCGGUACGCGAGCUGGGUUCAGAACGUCGUGAGACAGUUCGGUCCCUAUCUGUCGUGGGCGCAGGAUAUUUGAAAGGCGCUGUCCCUAGUACGAGAGGACCGGGAUGGACGAACCUCUGGUGCACCAGUUGUCACGCCAGUGGCACAGCUGGGCAGCUAUGUUCGGAUCGGAUAAACGCUGAAAGCAUCUAAGCGUGAAGCCGGCCUUAAGAUAAGAUAUCCCACUGAGUCAAUCAGGUAAGACCCCUUGAAGACUACAAGGUUGAUAGGCACACAGUGUAAGCGGAGUGAUCCGUUCAGCUAGCGUGUACUAAUAGGUCGAGGGCUUGACCG
rnacentral:rRNA from 1 species